ACCUUUCCCUUCAUUCUUAGUUUCUAAGAAAUAUACUGUACAAUUUGUAGCUAUAAAUAUGUGGAAAAAAGAAAAUCCUUCGGAGCUAUUAGCUGCUUAUAAAACUUGAAGUGAGUUCCCACAUAGUGAUUAUUAACUAUUCUCCUUAAAGCAGUUAGUUGCCUCCUCUUGGAAUUAGCUGCAGCACAAAACAUGAAGAUGGGUACUACCUAGUAGUAGUUUGUAGUAGAGCAGGAUUUGAUUGAAAUGUUGGAAUUUGGGAAGGCAUGUUCACUUUCCAGAGUUUUACUUCUGGAAUUUACUCUUGCUCUACCUUGAGUUUGGAAUUUUCAUAGCUGCCACAGGAAGGAGUGAGGGAGAGAAUGGGCCUCCUGAAGUUAGGGAUGUGCUGAGCAGUGUUGGCUGUUCCACCUGGAAGUCAACAUUGAAACAGUGUAUCACUGAUUUUGAUAGACCACAGUAAGCCCUCAUACUUGUGCCUUCUGGAUUGUUGUGUGGAAGGAUGGUGGGCCCAGCAAAUAUUUUGUUCUUUGCAGAUAAUGAAUUGAAGAACUGGUUACUUCCUUGUGUCUGUGUACUGGCAGGACUUUUUUUUUUUUUUAGUGCAAACAAAUCAAUUAGUUUAUAUUCAUACUUGAUUAAGCAUCAACUUGCUUUCAUUUUGUUCUUCAGACGUUCCAACUGCAGCUUCUGUCUCCUAGCAGCAGUGUCAUCCCUGCAUUUAACUCGGGGACCAUUACACAGGUCAUUAAAGUCCUGAAUCCACAAAAGCAACAACUACGUAUGCGGAUCAAGUUGACGUAUAAUCACAAGGGCUCAGCAAUGCAGGAUCUAGCAGAAGUCAACAACUUCCCCCCUCAGUCUUGGCAGUGAGCUCUGGCACCAUUCUUAUUCUCACCCCACCCAAUCAAAAGAACUCUGGGAAGAAGGUUGUGAUCCUUGGCAAUCCCCUAAACUGCACCAUGGGCAUGGGGAACAGAUGAGACCUGCUGAUGAGGAGGAAUUUUCCUGAAGUGAUUGCUGACUUUGAAGCAUAUCUGUUGAGACUAAUCUCCUCUCCUCCGCUGAUGAGGCUGGUGGCUUGUGGAGGCUACUCUGCACUCCCUCACACAUGCAUUCACAGCCAGAAGCAACAUUCCCUCCCUUCCCUGCCUCUCUACCCCCAAAGAAAAACAGCCUGGUUGGAAGAGAAGUCUGGAAUUUCUUGCAGGGAGACUUUCUAUCUCUGCAGCAAGUGAACAACUGCUCCUUCUUUCUGCUGUCUUUUUUUUUUUUUCCCCUUGGGAUGGUCAAGGUGUGUUUUCAUUCGUUACUAGCUGGAUUAUCUUCAGGCACUUUCAUCUGGGGCUCAGAAUGGGAACUUGGAGAAUUUUAGGUCACCUUGCCUCUUUCUUACUGUAUCCCCGUGUCUAAAGGGGCUGGAGGCUUUUUUUGGCCUGUUCAGUGCAUUACUGUAUACACACACCUCUUAGUUAUGUGAUACGUACCAAGAGCAAGUCAGGCCUUGGGACUUCAUCUGCAGACCUGGGACAGUGCAGGAAGGAGGUGCCGGUGAGGCUGAUUAAAAUUGCAUUGGUGCUGUACUUGGAAAUGAAGACCUUACACUUGAAUUUUCUUUCUUUCCAUCAGUGGCUGCAGCCAUACAGAUUCAGUCUUCUGUAGCUUCCCCGGAAAUAUGGUGAUGUAUAAGAGAUGUAGCGAUCUAAGGAGCAUCUGGUUUUCUACCGCAGUUAAUUUCAAAGCCUUUAGUUGUGGUUUAUGGUAAGAAAAGACACAUUCAAUUUUGUAGAUCAGUCUUUGAGCAAAAGCUCUGUUGCCUGCUGGGAGACUCACCGGAGACUAUGCUGCAGAGUUGUUCUUAGUUAUUCCAGACUUUCUCCCUGGUUUAAUUUCCAGAGCCUGUUGUAGACUCCCUGGGUUCCAUUUGAUUUACUUCUGACUGGGAUAUUUGUGUUGUAUCUGUAAUAUUGGCACUGAAAUAAAGACCAUGCGGUUUAAAGACA